GUGGUGGUAGUAUAAUGAGAAUAUGUUUGAUUUCCAAUUAGAAGAUCCAGUAUAAGGUCACUAUA
rnacentral:tRNA from 1 species